GUGAGGACAUGAGGAUGGGACUCACUUUAGUUUGUGUGCCGGGGCUUUUCUUGAUGAAUAUUCUCCUCUACUGUGGACACGCUCAAGAGACUUCGCUGUCCAUUGAUCCAAACAGGUCCACUUUCUUUACUGGAGAGUCUGUUACCUUCACAUGUGACGUGAGGAUGGGAGAACCUUUCAACAAUCCCAAACUCUGGGAUUGUUCAAUCAUUAGGAAUGG